GUGUUCACUUCGGCAGCAUAUUUGCUAAAAUUGGACAGACGGAGAAGAUUGGCCUGGCCCCUGUGCAAGGAUGCAUUCCAUAUUUAAAAAAAAAAACUAUACAAAU